rnacentral:rRNA from 1 species
GACGAACGCUGGCGGCGUGCUUAACACAUGCAAGUCGAACGGAAAGGCCCUGCUUUUGUGGGGUGCUCGAGUGGCGAACGGGUGAGUAACACGUGAGUAACCUGCCCUUGACUUUGGGAUAACUUCAGGAAACUGGGGCUAAUACCGGAUAGGAGCUCCUGCUGCAUGGUGGGGGUUGGAAAGUUUCGGCGGUUGGGGAUGGACGCGCGGCUUAUCAGCUUGUUGGUGGGGUAGUGGCUUACCAAGGCUUUGACGGAUAGCCGGCCUGAGAGGGUGGACGGCCACAUGGGGACUGAGAGACGGACCAGACUCCUACGGGAGACAGCAGGGGGGAAUAUUGCACAAUGGGCGGAAGCCUGAUGCAGCAACGCCGCGUGCGGGAUGACGGCCUUCGGGUUGUAAACCGCUUUCGGCUGUGACGAAGCGUGAGUGACGGUAAUGGGAAAAGAAGCACCGGCUAACUACGUG